rnacentral:sRNA from 1 species
UUCCCCCUUCAUUAUUCACUGUCACCUAUCCCAUCUCUUUUUUGUUUUCUGUUCCCUCAAUCAGAAAAAGCAUCUCUCUUUCUCUUCUCCCUCUCCCACGCCACAUUUCUUCUUCUUCUUCCUCUCUGCAACAACCACAAAACACACCAAAACUUACAAACGUGACAAACCAACUACACCAUUGUGAUCAUCUCAGUCCCACGAUCACAACCAUGUCCUUGAAAUCUGAUGUAGACAAGUUUUGACUCACCAACUCGGAAGGUCGACUCGGCGAGUUCGACAUAUCAAUUUCCAGGCCAUGCAUGACUUAGAGCAAUGCUUUGGAAUCCAGGUUCACGAACUAAACAAUCUAAGAGGGUAGACGGGAUGAGAUCGGAUUAAGUAAACUCGAGAAAAAGGAGAACCUGCCAUUUUUCACUCAAGAACCGUGGCCAUUUGGUCACUUUCAUACCAUUUUUCUGGUCAACCUCGACCACAAUUGGACUUCUACUAGGGGAAACUUAUUCCAAGGAUUUUCGAGGCCAAGCUAGGCUCGGGGGCUACGACCCAGCGACGUACUUGACCUAGAUAGCUGUACUUUCUGUGGCACUUAAGGAAUCAUAGCAGUUCCGACAUUUCCUUCUGUUUAGACGUACAAACUUAUCACUAUUAUGUAAUAAGUGUA